rnacentral:rRNA from 1 species
UACGUAGGGUGCAAGCGUUAAUCGGAAUUACUGGGCGUAAAGCGUGCGCAGGCGGUUUUGUAAGUCUGUCGUGAAAUCCCCGGGCUCAACCUGGGAAUUGCGAUGGAGACUGCAAGGCUAGAAUCUGGCAGAGGGGGUAGAAUUCCACGUGUAGCAGUGAAAUGCGUAGAGAUGUGGAGGAACACCGAUGGCGAAGGCAGCCCCCUGGGUCAAGAUUGACGCUCAUGCACGAAAGGCGUGGGGAGCAAACAGG